GGCUGGUUAGCGGGCCACGGCCAGAGGCGCUGGCACAUCCAACACCUGAGGAGGACCCAAGUCUGGUUAAGCUGGGAGGAGUACCCAAUGCCACCACCUCUAUCCCCAGCCUUCCCUGACUACUCCAGUGGCACCUCUUAGUUAACUGCAGUGGGGUUUAUGCCCAGAGGGCUUCUCGGCACCUGUUUCCCCUACUCUCAUCGAGGGCCAAUGGGGCUUAACAAGGGUCAAAAGAAGGGAAGAGCAGCUUCCAAGGAUCACCACUUUGGGGAGGUUUCUGGACUGGACUGUUUUGGAGACUUCCAGUGGCCCCUGUUGUUGGUGUGGAUCAAGAAAGGGUGGUGGGAACUCUCCCCUCCCUCAUUCCCUGAGGUAGAGUCAAGGGAAACCAACCACCCAUCCACCCAACUGGACCAGUUUCCUCAUUCUCCUUUUGGGCCAUGGGGAAUCUAUGGCUCUCUGGGAGCUGCUUCUAGCCCAAUGGCACUGAACAGGGGUCUAGGGAUGGGGCACAGCUUCUUCGGGGAGUUUUAGGGCCCUGUGCUGACAGCUCAUCACUAAUCACUUGCCAAUUCCCCAGGAGGAACGUGUCAGCAGGUGGGGUUUCUGCCAGAGUCCGAAGCAAGCGGGCAGCAGGAGAAGCAGUGGGGCUUGGGGAGGUAAGAGCCUCCCGCACCAGGCCAUGACACACCUGGGAGACAGGUAAGGGAGAAGAGAAGAGAGCAGCAGUGGCUGAAAAGGCAGAGGAGUGGGAGGGGCCAGGUAGUGGGGACUUGGGGGGUGUGGAGGAGAGGGCUGAGAGGAGGUCAUUCUAGGGGAUCUUGGAGACAGACUGCUGGACAGGAAGACAGAGUAGGGGUAGGGAUAAGGGAGUUCCAGGAAGCGGAGACCUUGGGCCAGAUUCUUGUUGGAGGGGAGGGUGGUAGGCAGCAUGGGAGAGGACAGAGGACAAGAGGGGACAUGUCUGGGCACAAGGAAAGGCAAGCAAUGGAGGCAGCAAGAGCCCUUGGCAGCAAGUUUCCAUCACCUUUGCCUGCCAGUGUGUGAGAGGCGCAGAGGGGCAGUGAGCAGGUGACAUGCAGCUUCCAGAUACCCACACACUGCUUUUCUCCCGCCCAGCUCCCACCCCAGUUAAUUGAGAUGGGAUUGUUUCUCUUUCUGGUUUCUUCCUAAGCCCCUCUCUCAUAUUCCUGGUGUGCUUAUGGCCUGGCACACCUUGUGAAACAGAAACCCAAGCUCCUCAUUUCGGAGCUGGGAUUUCGAUUGGCUAUCUGCCUCCCUAACCAAGCUGUCCCUUCCACCUCAUCCCUAGAGUCACCCUCUGGUCUCAUCAACAUCCAGUGGGCAUUUCAGUGGCCCAGGAUCCUUCAAAUUGCAGAUAUAAAGCAUCAGGACCCCACACCUGGGAUGGAAGCUUCUAGGAAUUAAUGAAGCCCCAGUAGAGUCUCCAAGGCAGAAAGUCAGGCAUCUUGGGUUUCUUCCCCAGAAAACUGAGAAGGCCAUGCUGUGACACCUCGUCCCCACCCCACAGGAGUCAGAGGAACCCCUUCCCCAGUUGGAAUUUGGCUCCUGUGAUGCUCCAAAAGGUCUCUCACCUCUGACACCUUUGUUCUGAGUCAUCAAAUCCUUUUGUGGUCACCAAACAGAGUCCCUCAGAGUAGGGGGCAGGAUCUGAGCUUCUCUCACAGGCCAGAGCAGGGAGAAGGGCUUCUGGGGGGUUGCAGGGAGUCCAUAUUCUAGUCCCACCUAAAAGCAGUGCCUGCCUCCUUAAUUCUGCACCGGGUCACAGAUCCCUGCCUGCUUCUCCCGCCUUUCACACAAAUGCUCUUAGAUUAAAUCUGUGGGAAGGGGGUGGGAGGGAAACAGGCCCCUCUCUGAUACAGGCCCUAAGUUUCAAAUUCCCCUCUUACUGGGCAGAUGGAGUUCCUAGAAAAGUUUUGGGAUAGUUUUCCAAAGGAAAUGUGCAGAAUGAGGAUGGGGAGGCGAGGACUCCAGAAAGACCACAGUAACAAGCCCUCUCUGUCCAAAAACAAGUCUCCUUGUAUCAAUCACUAGAAAUCAGAUCCAACAACUAAGCUAGAAUUCCCUCCCUUUCCCAGACAGUGCUCCCAAACAUGACCAUCUUCCUUGCUCACCACGCCCGAGCAGCAGAUAGGAAAAACAGAGGCCCAGAGAGGUCAGGCUAACAUCCUAGGGGUCACACAGCAUCGGAACCGCGAUUAGAACUCAGGAGUCUCUGGCGCCUCUUGGGAGAAUUGCAGCUGGAGCUCCCCCCUUGGCCCUGGAGACUCCAGUGGGCAGGGAGCUUGCGGUCCUGACCAGCUGGCGGUGGUGGCCCUGCGCCCUGGUGCCAGUGAGGCGUCUGGGUCUAGCAGUCACCUCUGGGCACUCCCUGGGUGGGAGGACAAGCUGGGAGGGGAUCCUAGGGGCAGGGGCAGGGGCAGGGAGGUGGCAGCUGCCGGUAGGGUUGGGGGAGAGAUAUUUUUAGAGGUGACUAGGAAGCCAGCACUCUGGCGCACCCCCGGCUGGCGGGCGCUGGGCUCCAAUGCGGGCGGGGGGUGCGCGGCUCGGGGAGGGGUAUUGUGGGUGGCAGGGAGCAAGGGGACACCAAUUCCUUGGCUUUGUCAGAGUCGGGGACGGAGGGAUACCCCAGCACUAUGUUCCUGGGUAGGAGAGAGAAGGGGACUCACUCCUGAGCUCCAGAACUCCCCCAGUGCCACGCGCGUGAAGGAGCGCCUUCAAACUCCACAGCCCCCACCCCGCGCCGGGACCCCAGCCCUCCCCUAUCUCCCGGAGCCCAGGACUCACGUGGGGGCGGCGGCAGCAGAGCCGCCGCGUCCCCUUUAAAUGCCCGGGAGCCGGAGCCGGAGCCGGAGCCGCGGCCGGCGCUGCGGCUGCUGCAGCAGCGGAGCCCACCGCAGUCCCCAACGUCACAAGCGACUGUCCAAUCGCAGCGGUGCCGGCGCACAUCAAAGGGGCGGGCCGCCCGAGGCCACGCCUCCCUCCUGCCCCGGAGGCUCCGGGAGCGCCAGCUAAGGGCUGUGGACUUUCUCAUCCGCCGCCUCCAGGGCUUCGGUUCUUGAGAUUUGCAGAAGUGCACCUCCACCUCCUGCCCAUUCCGCUGUCGCGUCCUAAACCCAGUGGGAGGCACGGGAUGACCCAGCCCUCGGGACCCUUUUCCCCAGAUUAUAGGUUACUGAGGAUUGCGGGGGUUGGCGGGAGGAAUGACUCCCUACCCCCACCCCCGCCCGUAAAGUUGGUGGAGCGGGUGGUGACAGACAGUUUGCCCCUUUUGCAGAUGGCCCUAUAAAUAAAAAACGCACUUUCUCCCCUGCUUCCUAAGAGUGUGUUUCUCCCCCACCCUAAUCUCCUCCUUUUGGCCCUCAAAGCCUGCUAGUGAAGAGAAGGAGAGAAGAUAGUGUUUCGAGAGGAAAGACGUGAAACUAGUAUUUACUGAGAACAUACUAUGAACCGGGCAUUCGAGCUAGGUCGCUGCGUUUAUGGCUGAAUGUUCACAACACUCGAGAAAUUAUUUGCCUAGCCGUUCAAACCCGGACACACCUGACUCCAUUGGGUCACAAAGGGGUGUGUAGGUGGGGAGAAUGCACUUUGGGAGGCCAAGGUGGGAGGAUCGCUUGAGCCCCGGAGUUCGAGACCAGCCUGGACAACAUAGGGAGACCCCAUCUCUACAAAAAAUUAAGAAAUUAGCUAGGCAUUGUGGCAUGUACCUGUAGUCCCAGCUCUACUCGGGAGGCUGAGGUGGGAGGAUAGCUUGAGCCUGGGAGGUGAAGGCUGCAGUAAACUGUGAUCACACCACCACACUCUAGCCUAGGCGAAAGAGUGAGACCCUGUCUCAAAACAAAACAAAAUAAAACAACAACAAAAAAGAGUGAGCUUGUCUGGGGUCACCCAGCUGGUAGGGCUGGGGUAUCAUACUGUCCCUCUCAUUGUCUGUCAUCCCUCCUCUCCUGUAAGCAACAUGAGGACCAUGUUUGUCUUAUUGAUGUACCCCCAUCCCCUAGCAUAGGCAGCCUGGCUGGUGCACAGUGGGCCUUAUAGAUGUUUGUUGAGUGAGGCCAGGUGCAGUGGCUCAUGCCUGUAAUCUCAGCA
rnacentral:lncRNA from 1 species